rnacentral:rRNA from 1 species
ACGGAGGGUGCAAGCGUUAUCCGGAUUCACUGGGUUUAAAGGGUGCGUAGGCGGGCAUUUAAGUCAGUGGUGAAAUACCUGAGCUUAACUUGGGAACUGCCAUUGAUACUAUUUGUCUUGAAUGCCCUGGAGGUAAGCGGAAUAUGUCAUGUAGCGGUGAAAUGCUUAGAUAUGACAUAGAACACCAAUUGCGAAGGCAGCUUACUACGGGGUGAUUGACACUGAGGCACGAAAGCGUGGGGAUCAAACAGGA